rnacentral:rRNA from 1 species
GUGCCAGCAGCCGCGGUAAAACGUAGGACACAAGCGUUAUCCGGAGUUACUGGGCGUAAAGGGCGUGUAGGCGGAUCGGUAAGUCUACUCUGAAAGCUCCUGGCUAAACUGGGAGAGGCGAGUGGAGACUGUCGGUCUAGAGUGAGGAAGAGGAAAGUGGAAUUCCGCGUGUAGUGGUGAAAUGCGUAGAGAUGCGGAGGAACACCAGUGGCGAAAGCGGCUUUCUGGUCCUUAACUGACGCUGAGGCGCGAAAGCAUGGGGAGCGAACGGGAUUAGAAACCCGCGUAGUCC